rnacentral:rRNA from 1 species
AUUGAACGCUGGCGGCAGGCUUAACACAUGCAAGUCGAGCGGGGUGAUGGUGCUUGCACUAUCACUUAGCGGCGGACGGGUGAGUAAUGCUUAGGAAUCUGCCUAUUAGUGGGGGACAACAUCUCGAAAGGGAUGCUAAUACCGCAUACGUCCUACGGGAGAAAGCAGGGGAUCACUUGUGACCUUGCGCUAAUAGAUGAGCCUAAGUCGGAUUAGCUAGUUGGUGGGGUAAAGGCCUACCAAGGCGACGAUCUGUAGCGGGUCUGAGAGGAUGAUCCGCCACACUGGGACUGAGACAUGGCCCAGACUCCUACGGGAGGCAGCAGUGGGGAAUAUUGGACAAUGGGGGGAACCCUGAUCUAGCCAUGCCGCGUGUGUGAAGAAGGCCUUAUGGUUGUAAAGCACUUUAAGCGAGGAGGAGGCUCUUUUGGUUAAUACCCAAGAUGAGUGGACGUUACUCGCAGAAUAAGCACCGGCUAACUCUGUGCCAGCAGCCGCCGUAA